rnacentral:lncRNA from 1 species
GCUAGGCUGCUGGCUAUAUAUACAUGGCACCUUUAGUGCAAAUAGCAAUACCACAAAACUAGAAGCAAUAACAGACACAAACACAAGAAAGCUGCUUGAUAUCACGCAUUGAUAGGAGCAAUAUUAUUGUUCAACAUGCAGUCGCCCCAAGGCUCGAACAAACAAGCAAAACCCGCUGCGAAGGGUAAGCCUCUCUCUAAAAUGCCUCGUAAACCCCACCAAAAAGCUCACGGGUUGGUUAAUUACUGUCUCGUCGAUCGGACGCUGGAAAUGCAGGAACACUUCCAGUGGUUAGCCUGACCAGAGAAUCGAAGGUGCAGUCCAAACCAGAGUAUCCAGCAUCUGCUCCAGCCGAUGGGAAAACUGCACCCUCUAACGGUUGGUACCCUUUCCAAAGCCUCCACUUUUGGUUUGCCUUUUUGCAUCUGUCUUCCUCCUAGCUGUGUUUCCAGUGUGUCGCCAAAAGCACGUACGUGCAUGGUCUCCGACCUGUGUUUCCAUUCCUUUCUGCAUCUGUCUUGCUUCCCUUUUGUUUGUCCGAAAAUCUUCCUGGUGGUACUUUGACCUUCCUCCAUUUAACUCUUUUGAAAACCCACUAAAUCUCGCAAGUACAUUAAAUCUGGUAAUAAGAUCUCCAGACAUGCGGGAAGCACGAAGUACAACCAUAUUUAAUUUAGUACUAGAAUAGUACAUCUCAUCUUUUGCGAAUUAAAAGAUACAGUAUAUGGUUAAAAAUGUUUAACUCAGAACAAAUCUAAACGUAGCUAUAUUCUGAUAUAGUAACCAUUAAUUAAUAUGCCGGCUUUGAUUGAUUUCUUUGGCUUUGUCUCGUGCCUGCACGCAGCUGCAUCUAAGGCUACGGUGACUCCACUGCCAACAACCAGCCGCGUUUCGACCCAGCCUCUGUUCAAAGCUCAUGCUAAGUCAGCCAAAGAGACGAAACCAACAGGUAUGCGUCGUCACUGAAACUACUCGCAACUGUAUAUCUUCAUGUACAUGUUGGGCUAGAGCUUGACAUAUAAAUUAUACAGAUAUAUAGUAUAUUUAAAUUUUCAUCUUAAUUUGAUUUGGUUUCAUCAGGCAAGGGUUCCACGAACCCAACCGGGGCCCGCUGAAGCUAGUUACGCGGAGAAGACCCCAUACCUAUGAUGUCUCUGUCAAGGGUCAAACUACUACAUAAAGUGUGGGUGUGAUUCAAAUGAAUACUCGUAGAGUCGUAGUAGUCACAGUUUAUAUAGAAAAAUAUAAUACCUUCAUUGCUCUUAUUAGUUUUGAUGGGUUGGUAAAAAAUGUAUGAGUGUGUAUAUGGCCAGUUGUAUAUUCAAAAAAUAAUGUUGGAUAUCCUCUGCUGUUCAGUUGUUUCUUAUUAAAAAAUCUGAAAAAAAUCGUCUCCUACAAAA